rnacentral:rRNA from 1 species
GGCUGUCUGAGUUUUUUAGUAUAGGGAGUCUGGCCUGCCCGGUGCCCUGCGGGGUAAACGGCCGCAGCUAAAACUGUGAUAAUGUAGCGCAAUAAAUUGUCCUUUAAUAGGGGAAGAGUAUGAAUGGUUCGACGCGAUCAAGCCUGUGUCAGGAGUAAAGCGUGAAAUUUCCUUCUUAGUGAAUAGGCUGAGAUUUUUGUAAAAGACGAGAAGACCCCGUCGAGCUUGGUUAGGUAAUGAGGUUUGGGAUGCUUUACAGGGUAGCCUACCGGCUGAAUGUCGCUUGAUUCCACUCUCAUGUAUCGGCCUUUUUGUAAGAUUUCACCCAGUUUCGAGGUACACUGAAGAAGUGGGGGGGGGUCUUACAAGAGUUGAGUCGAUGGAGGAUAGUAGUUAAAAUUACUACUUAUAUGGGGUGGAUGUGCGGCUCUAGUCCUUCUAGUUGCCUAUGUUUUGUUGGGGCAACACAAAGCUAGAAAGAACGCUUUGGAUCACGGUAUGUGGAUCCUGUAUUGAUAGAUAGUCAGCAGAAGUUACCGCGGGGAUAACAGCGUAAUUCUCCCGGAUAGGACAUAUUGAUGGGAGAGAUUGCGACCUCGAUGUUGAAUCAGGGUUUCUACAUGCUGCAGAAGGUAUGUAAG